CACCUGAUACCUAUUACCUUAUCUGUACGUUCCACAUCUGACAGGAGCACCACCAAACGGUGUAUUUAGGAUUUUGCUAUAUACACAGGUUAUGAUCUCAGGGUUGACACUAAAAUAAUCAAUUCAAUCAUUGUCACAUUAUUCCCUAUUGUAGUAUUUUAAUCAGUAAGACUUUCUAAGAUGACAAUAGGAAUACUAAAAAU
rnacentral:lncRNA from 1 species